CGGAAUGUACGUUAAUGGCAGACUGACAGGGUCGCACCCUGGAUCCCGGUUCGAAUCCGGGCGUUCCGA
rnacentral:tRNA from 1 species